rnacentral:pre_miRNA from 1 species
AGUGAGAUAGCUGGGUCAAAUGGUGGUUCCAUUCCCAGCUUUCCAAGCAAUUUCCAUACUACUUUCCAGAUUGGCUGCAAGAAUUUGCAGUCCCACUAGCAAU